GGCUAAUCCUGGUCGGACAUCAGGAGGUUAGUGCAAUGGCAUAAGCCAGCUUGACUGCGAGCGUGACGGCGCGAGCAGGUGCGAAAGCAGGUCAUAGUGAUCCGGUGGUUCUGAAUGGAAGGGCCAUCGCUCAACGGAUAAAAGGUACUCCGGGGAUAACAGGCUGAUACCGCCCAAGAGUUCAUAUCGACGGCGGUGUUUGGCACCUCGAUGUCGGCUCAUCACAUCCUGGGGCUGAAGUAGGUCCCAAGGGUAUGGCUGUUCGCCAUUUAAAGUGGUACGCGAGCUGGGUUUAGAACGUCGUGAGACAGUUCGGUCCCUA
rnacentral:rRNA from 1 species